AAAGUCAUGGUUAAGUGGGAAACGAUGUGGGAAGGCCCAGACAGCCAGGAUGUUGGCUUAGAAGCAGCCAUCAUUUAAAGAAAGCGUAAUAGCUCACUGGUCGAGUCGGCCUGCGCGGAAGAUGUAACGGGGCUAAACCAUGCACCGAAGCUGCGGCAGCGACGCUGAUGCGUUGUUGGGUAGGGGAGCGUUCUGUAAGCCUGUGAAGGUGGCCUGUGAGGGUUGCUGGAGGUAUCAGAAGUGCGAAUGCUGACAUAAGUAACGAUAAAGCGGGUGAAAAGCCCGCUCGCCGGAAGACCAAGGGUUCCUGUCCAACGUUAAUCGGGGCAGGGUGAGUCGACCCCUAAGGCGAGGCCGAAAGGCGUAGUCGAUGGGAAACGGGUUAAUAUUCCCGUACUUGGUGUUACUGCGAAGGGGGGACGGAGAAGGCUAUGUUGGCCGGGCGACGGUUGUCCCGGUUUAAGCGUGUAGGUGUGUGUUCCAGGUAAAUCCGGUUCACUUUAACACUGAGGCGUGAUGACGAGGCACUACGGUGCUGAAGCAACAAAUGCCCUGCUUCCAGGAAAAGCCUCUAAGCAUCAGGUAACAUCAAAUCGUACCCCAAACCGACACAGGUGGUCAGGUAGAGAAUACCAAGGCGCUUGAGAGAACUCGGGUGAAGGAACUAGGCAAAAUGGUGCCGUAACUUCGGGAGAAGGCACGCUGACAC
rnacentral:rRNA from 1 species